rnacentral:other from 1 species
CAGUAGGUUUCACAACCCCAUGAUUUAUAUGCAUGCUUUUGAUAAGCCUGCAUGACAAAGAAUUGCUGUGUGUAGUCUUUGCCUGUCUUCUAUGACGGGCCUUUUUUUGU